UUGAAAUUUCUGACAGACCAGUCAAAAAUCACAUAACCUCAGUGAUAUGAUAUGAAUAUUAGAGAGAAAGAGUGCUCAUAACCCCUAUGGGUUAUGUCAAAAUGGAAUUCAAACUAGGGAAAAUUACUCUAAUCAAGAAGAUAAAUUGUCACCAAAGAAACAUGCAAGAAGGAAAACAAAGAAUGCACUGGAUAUCACACAUUAUAUGGAUUAAGUGUUGAAGAGAACAUGAAUUGUUGAGUAUUUCGAGUCUGAUGAUCUUGCAUUACAGAAUUGGUAAUUCAGAUCUUGAAAAUUAAUAGGAUAAAAUCAAUGCAAGAAAAUUGAGUGUGU